UUACAUAAUUGCUUGAAACAAAUUAAAGAUUUAAAAGCAGAAUGUUGUUGUUAAUUCUUUCAAUUGCAUUAAAGUUUUAUAACAAAAACUAUACUUGAUUUUGACCUUGUUUAAGUUCAUCGGUAAAUUAUUUUAUUUACGAAAAGAGACAUACUUGCGUAAAAAUAAACGGAAACUAACGCUGAAUAUAAAAGUGAGCAGUUUAAAGAAAAUUACGUGUCUCAAAAUUUGUAUAUGCAAGUAAAAAAGAAAAUACUAUUCACCAUUCGUUAUGCUUAAUAAGUCUACGGCAUUUUCUCUUUACGAUUUGUUGGCAUUACUUUAGGAUAAAUAAUUACAUUUCGGCUACAACAGGAAUACUUAUAUAGCUGCAUCAACUCGUCGUUGCAUAAUAUUCAUUUACGCACAAUGAAUGUAAACUUGUGUGUUGUAUAAAGGACAGUGAUUUUUUAUUUUUUUAAAAGGAAUUAAUUGCCGUGGGAAGACGGUACACAUCUCAGUGAUCGACAGUCCGUGGUUGAACUUUGAACUUGACUUCGCUCACAAUAUUGAAUGCUAAAAAUAGUGACAUCAAUUUUGUCCACGAGAUUUUUAUUUGGCGGGAAAUAUUAUCACGUAACAGUAAACUCAGGUGACCUUUCUGGAUGACCGUGGGAAAAUUCAUUCGGGGUUUAAACUUGCUUUGGAAUGAUUGACAUUUGUAUGCCUUAAGAUUGAGGCUCUAGAAGGUCCUUUUACAAUUGAUUAACCGGAAUCUAAAAUAUAAUCCUUUUCUGAAUAAACGAACACCAGCCUUUUAAUUUUACGUUUCUCAGUCAACACAGGACAUAAACCUGGACAUUAUUUAAACGUCCAUGGUCAACAAUAUACAUAAAUGGUAGAUGAAAACAGGAUGCAUGUCGUUCAGUUCCUGUUGGGCGUUGGUAGAGAUCCUCUGUGAAAAUGUGUAGAUCGUGAAAAUGUGUAGAUCGUAAAAAUCCGAUCCACAUUUUUUUCACAUAUUUCU